UACAGAGGUCUCGAGCGUUAGGCGGAAUCACUGGGCUUAAAGCGUGCGUAGGCGGUUCGUUAAGUCAGCUGUGAAAGCCCCGGGCUCAACCUGGGAACUGCGGUUGAAACUGGCGAACUAGAAUCUGGCAGAGGGGGGUGGAAUUCCACGUGUAGCAGUGAAAUGCGUAGAGAUGUGGAGGAACACCGAUGGCGAAGGCAGCCCCCUGGGCUGAGAUUGACGCUCAGGCACGAAAGCGUGGGGAGCAAACAGG
rnacentral:rRNA from 1 species